rnacentral:misc_RNA from 1 species
GGAUCGCGCGCGAGCGGUUCUGCCGUAUCGCAACGAGCGUGACUUAAGGGGAGUUUCGACGUCGGAGCUUGAAAAUAUGUUUAUAAAAACGUCGUUAUAAAAGUGUUUUCGUCGGCCGGGACGUCUGCGUGAGGAGCAACGGCGGCAGCAGCAGCACCACCAGCAGCAGCAGCAGCUUCAGCAACAGGCGCUUUUUAAAGCUACUCCGAAAGUGAUCCCGACGGUGACGACGUAUUAUACCAACGCUAUAAAGUACCAAUGUCCAAUCGUAUCCUUUAAGGACUUUUGCAACGGCAGCGCUGAUUCCUUCACCACCGUUAACGCCGGCACCGGGAGAAAUAUUAUUAACCGCUGCUGUUGAAGCAUUUGCGAGGUUUUUAUUUUUAUUUUUAUUUUUACUAUUAUUAUUGUUGUUGUUGUUGUUGGUAGUUUUAUUGUUGUUGUUGUUGUUGUUGUUUUUAGGAUUUACGCUGCUACCGCCGCUGCUGAUAUCAGCAAUUGAAUUGGCUGCCGCAGCGGUAGAAUCGCCGCACCCACUGACACUCAAAUUGCGAAGAUCUUUAUCGGAGGUACUGCAUGAGAUAAUAUUUUUGCUAUUCAUUGAGACUGUACGAUUAUUUUUAUUAAAACUUUCGUCCACGUUAUUUUCAUCGUUUAUGCAUUCCUCGUAUUUUAUGAUAUUUUUAUCGUUGCCGCUGCAGAUUGCAGCUGCGUUAUUAACGGCUAUUAUCUUCUUUGAUACGUUGCUGCAGUUAUUGUUAUUUGUCUUUGACGCCGCG